rnacentral:rRNA from 1 species
CGCCGGUACAAGCGUAUAGCAGUCAUGCAGGCAAAGCCGCAUGAAAAAUGUAAAGCGUUAUGUGGAUCGAACAUUAGUAGAGAAGCGUGUGAGCCAGCUGCCAAGAAAAGCCGCUAUUGUUUCAUAAGUACCCGUACCGUAAACCGACACAGGUGGAUGAGGAGAGAAUCCUAAGGCCGGCGGGAGAAGUGUUGUUAAGGAACUCGGCAAAAUGACUCCGUAACUUCGGGAGAAGGAGUGCCACAGAGAUGUGGCCGCAGAGAAAUGGCCCAAGCAACUGUUUAGCAAAAACACAGGUCUAUGCAAAACCGAAAGGUGAGGUAUAUGGGCUGACGCCUGCCCGGUGCUGGAAGGUUAAGAGGAGAGGUUAGAGCAAUCGAAGCUUUGAAUUUAAGCCCCAGUAAACGGCGGCCGUAACUAUAACGGUCCUAAAGUAGCGAAAUUCCUUGUCGGGUAAGUUCCGACCCGCACGAAAGGCGUAAUGAUUUGGGCACUGUCUCAACAACACACCCGGUGAAAUUGAAAUACCAGUGAAGAUGCUGGUUACCUGCGCCAGGACGGAAAGACCCCAUGGAGCUUUACUCCAGUUUGAUACUGGGAUUCGGUACUGUCUGUACAGGAUAGGUGGGAGGCUAGGAAAUGGUGACGCCAGUUGCCAUGGAGCCAACCUUGGGAUACCACCCUUACAGUACUGGGUUUCUAACCUGCAGCCGUAACCCGGCUGGGGGACAAUGUCUGACGGGGAGUUUGACUGGGGCGGUCGCCUCCGAAAGAGUAUCGGAGGCGCUCAAAGGUUCCCUCAGAACGGUUGGGAACCGUUCGAAGAGUGCAAAGGCAGAAGGGAGCUUGACUGCGACACCGACGGGUGGAGCAGAUACGAAAGUAGGACUUAGUGAUCCGGUGGUAUAAAGUGGGAUUGCCAUCGCUCAACGGAUAAAAGCUACCCUGGGAUAACAGGCUUAUCACUCCCAAGAGUUCACAUCGACGGAGUGGUUUGGCACCUCGAUGUCGGCUCAUCGCAUCCUGGAGCUGUAGCAGGUUCCAAGGGUUGGGCUGUUCGCCCAUUAAAGCGGUACGCGAGCUGGGUUCAGAACGUCGUGAGACAGUUCGGUCCCUAUCCGGCGUGGGCGUAGGAUAUUUGAGAGGAGCUGUCCUUAGUACGAGAGGACCGGGAUGGACAAACCUCUGGUGUAUCUGUUGUUUUACCAAAGGCAUGGCAGAGUAGCCAAGUUUGGCAGGGAUAAACGCUGAAGGCAUCUAAGCGUGAAGCCCCCCUCAAGAUAAGAUAUCCCAUCUUCGGAGUAAGACCCCUUGAAGACUACAAGGUUGAUAGGCUUCAGGUGUAAGUGUGGUAACGCACUCAGCUGAGAAGUACUAAUAGGUCGAGGACUUAUCAA